rnacentral:rRNA from 1 species
ACUAGCAGUAAGAGUUUGAUCAUGGCUCAGAACGAACGCUGGCGGCAUGCCUAACACAUGCAAGUCGAACGAGACCUUCGGGUCUAGUGGCGCACGGGUGCGUAACGCGUGGGAAUCUGCCCUUAGGUUCGGAAUGACUCAGGGAAACUUGAGCUAAUACCGGAUGAUGACUUCGGUCCAAAGAUUUAUCGCCUAAGGAUGAGCCCGCGUAAGAUUAGCUAGUUGGUGAGGUAAAGGCUCACCAAGGCUACGAUCUUUAGCUGGUCUGAGAGGAUGAUCAGCCACACUGGGACUGAGACACGGCCCAGACUCCUACGGGAGGCAGCAGUGGGGAAUAUUGGACAAUGGGCGAAAGCCUGAUCCAGCAACGCCGCGUGAGGGAUGAAGGUCUUUGGAUUGUAAACCUCUUUUCUCAGGGAAGAGAUAGGACGGUACCUGAGGAAUAAGUCACGGCUAACUACGUGCCAGCCGCCGCGGUAAUAC